rnacentral:rRNA from 1 species
UACGUAGGGUCCGAGCGUUGUCCGGAAUUACUGGGCGUAAAGAGCUCGUAGGCGGUCUGUCACGUCGGGAGUGAAAACUCGGGGCUUAACCCCGAGCCUGCUUCCGAUACGGGCAGACUAGAGGUAUGCAGGGGAGAACGGAAUUCCUGGUGUAGCGGUGAAAUGCGCAGAUAUCAGGAGGAACACCGGUGGCGAGGGCGGUUCUCUGGGCAUUACCUGACGCUGAGGAGCGAAAGCUAGGGGAGCGAACGGG